rnacentral:rRNA from 1 species
AUGCAAGUCGAGGGGCAGCGGGAUUGAAGCUUGCUUCAAUUGCCGGCGACCGGCGCACGGGUGAGUAACGCGUAUCCAACCUUCCGUACACUCAGGGAUAGCCUUUCGAAAGAAAGAUUAAUACCUGAUGGUAUGAUGAGAUUGCAUGAUAGCAUCAUUAAAGAUUCAUCGGUGUACGAUGGGGAUGCGUUCCAUUAGGUAGUAGGCGGGGUAACGGCCCACCUAGCCUACGAUGGAUAGGGGUUCUGAGAGGAAGGUCCCCCACAUUGGAACUGAGACACGGUCCAAACUCCUACGGGAGGCAGCAGUGAGGAAUAUUGGUCAAUGGACGAGAGUCUGAACCAGCCAAGUAGCGUGAAGGAUGAAGGUCCUACGGAUUGUAAACUUCUUUUAUAAGGGAAUAAAACCUCCCACGUGUGGGAGCUUGUAUGUACCUUAUGAAUAAGCAUCGGCUAACUCCGUGCCAGCAGCCGCGGUAAUACGGAGGAUGCGAGCGUUAUCCGGAUUUAUUGGGUUUAAAGGGAGCGCAGACGGGUCGUUAAGUCAGCUGUGAAAGUUUGGGGCUCAACCUUAAAAUUGCAGUUGAUACUGGCGUCCUUGAGUGCGGUUGAGGUGUGCGGAAUUCGUGGUGUAGCGGUGAAAUGCUUAGAUAUCACGAAGAACUCCGAUUGCGAAGGCAGCACACUAAGCCGUAACUGACGUUCAUGCUCGAAAGUGUGGGUAUCAAACAGGAUUAGAUACCCUGGUAGUCCACACGGUAAACGAUGGAUACUCGCUGUUGGCGAUAUACUGUCAGCGGCUUAGCGAAAGCGUUAAGUAUCCCACCUGGGGAGUACGCCGACAACGGUGAAACUCAAAGGAAUUGACGGGGGCCCGCACAAGCGGAGGAACAUGUGGUUUAAUUCGAUGAUACGCGAGGAACCUUACCCGGGCUUAA